rnacentral:tRNA from 1 species
GCUGCAAUAGCUCAGUGGUAGAGCUCCCGCUUCGCAUGUGGGGAGACCCGGGUUCGAUUCUCGGCUGUUUCC